UGACUGAAUUUGUGGAUUUGGUGGGAAAUUAAAAGGGCAAGUACAUUAAGGUCAGUGAACUUGGCAACUAGCAUCAGUAGAACCAUCCAAUUUGUAAAAUUAAAAAACUAAUAGCUAACUUUUUGUAUAAUUGAUAAACUUGUAAUUAUGUUCAAUGGUUGUGACUUUGUGCAGAACUGAAAAUUUAUGCUGCAUUGACCUUUGAUUGAAUGCAAUCUUACUCAACAUAUCAUCUGCAUGCUCUGUCUUUGGUUGAACAUACAUAUUCCACUGGCAAGAGCAAAUACUCUCUGCAUUAUUGUUGCAAAUUAACGCUAUAAAAGGGCAUGGACUACAGGAAGUAAGCUAGCUACAAUACACAAUACUCAAGACAUAAACAAGCCACUGAUCUCAACUUUUUGUUUUGACUAAAGUGAAUAUGUAUCUUGUUAUUGCUCAAGUUUCAUUCUUAUGGUGUAAUUACUUAAAUGAAUGUAGCUAAGCAGCAGCCAUACAUUUUGAGCGAGGAAGCUACUCCAACUUGUGCGAGGGAAGCUGAGGUUCGGCCAAAACGAUGAUCACCCACCAGAGUUCAGUCCAUAAGAAAGAGUGGCAUGGAGAUCUGUCCAGUGGAACCUCUGCAUACAAGUUUUCACGUGAUAGACUCUGGUAGGUGAUUACUGACUUGGCUGAACCUUGAUUGACCAUGCACAAGUUGCAGUAGUUUCCUUGCUCAAAAUCUAUGGCUGCCGCUGACCGAGCUGCGUCCAUUUUGCAGCAAAUGAAAACCUAAUUACAUCACUAAUUACUACACCAUAAGCAGAAGUUCACCUCACAAAUGGGCAAAUGCAUGCAUCUUUAGAGAAAGAAAUUGCGAUUGUGAGGCGUGACUCACACCAAUGUGCUAUCGCCUGUUUAAGUUACAAUGAAGAAACGAAAAUAGGCUGCAUCUUCCAUGCUGAAUUUUGAUGAAUCGGACCCGAAUUAUGCAAUUUUUGAGGACUUACAUUGAUAGAACAUCCCAAUUGCGCUAUAACAAGAUGCUUAGGCUGCUGAAGAAUAUCC
rnacentral:lncRNA from 1 species